rnacentral:rRNA from 1 species
ACUCCUACGGGAGGCAGCAGUGGGGAAUAUUGCACAAUGGGCGCAAGCCUGAUGCAGCCAUGCCGCGUGUGUGAAGAAGGCCUUCGGGUUGUAAAGCACUUUCAGUCGUGAGGAAGGUAGUGUAGUUAAUAGCUGCAUUAUUUGACGUUAGCGACAGAAGAAGCACCGGCUAACUCCGUGCCAGCAGCCGCGGUAAUACGGAGGGUGCGAGCGUUAAUCGGAAUUACUGGGCGUAAAGCGCAUGCAGGUGGUUUGUUAAGUCAGAUGUGAAAGCCCGGGGCUCAACCUCGGAAUUGCAUUUGAAACUGGCAGACUAGAGUACUGUAGAGGGGGGUAGAAUUUCAGGUGUAGCGGUGAAAUGCGUAGAGAUCUGAAGGAAUACCGGUGGCGAAGGCGGCCCCCUGGACAGAUACUGACACUCAGAUGCGAAAGCGUGGGGAGCAAACAGGAUUAGAUACCCUGGUAGUCCACGCCGUAAACGAUGUCUACUUGGAGGUUGUGGCCUUGAGCCGUGGCUUUCGGAGCUAACGCGUUAAGUAGACCGCCUGGGGAGUACGGUCGCAAGAUUAAAACUCAAAUG